rnacentral:rRNA from 1 species
GGGGAAUAUUGCACAAUGGGCGCAAGCCUGAUGCAGCAACGCCGCGUGAGGGAUGACGGCCUUCGGGUUGUAAACCUCUUUUGUCAAGGAAGAAGCCUUCGGGUGACGGUACUUGGAGAAAAAGCACCGGCUAACUACGUGCCAGCAGCCGCGGUAAUACGUAGGGUGCAAGCGUUGUCCGGAAUUAUUGGGCGUAAAGAGCUCGUAGGCGGCUUGUCGCGUCUGCCGUGAAAGCCCGAGGCUCAACCUCGGGUCUGCGGUGGGUACGGGCAGGCUAGAGUGCGGUAGGGGAGAUUGGAAUUCCUGGUGUAGCGGUGGAAUGCGCAGAUAUCAGGAGGAACACCGAUGGCGAAGGCAGAUCUCUGGGCCGUAACUGACGCUGAGGAGCGAAAGCAUGGGGAGCGAAC